GCCCCCGUGGCGGAAUUGGUAGACGCGCCUGACUCAAAAUCAGGUACUCGCGAGGGUGUGUGGGUUCGAGUCCCUCCAGGGGCACCA
rnacentral:tRNA from 1 species